rnacentral:rRNA from 1 species
AAAACUUUCAGCAACGGAUCUCUUGGUUCUAGGCAUCGAUGAAGAACGCAGCGAAAUGCGAUAAGUAAUGUGAAUUGCAGAAUUCAGUGAAUCAUCGAAUCUUUGAACGCACAUUGCGCCCGCCAGUAUUCUGGCGGGCAUGCCUGUCUGAGCGUCA